rnacentral:lncRNA from 1 species
GUAAUUGAGAAACAUCACUUGUUGAGAUGCUGAGUUAUAUCCAGGAAGAAUAGUUUAAAAGGAAUGAUGACAAGUUAUAGAAAUCAAGGUUGAGACAGAACAACAAAUAACUAUUAUAUUUAUAUAUAUGUAUAAAAAAAAAUAAUCAGUGUCGAAAUUUUAGUGAGGCAAUUGCCUCACUUGCCUCAAGGGUAGCUACGGCC